rnacentral:lncRNA from 1 species
GCACCGCGCACAGGCUGUGCCAAAGUCCACAGGCACCCUUCGGCCUCCAUCAUCGCGCCCUCUUCACAGAUGAGCAAACGGAGGCCAGACGUCACCGGCAGGCGGCGCUGCGGUGCGCGAGGCCUCGCACCUGCACGGGAAGCAGCGGAGAGGACGCAGUUUCUUACAGGCAAAAUAAAGAGGAUAAUCCUUCCCUCAUAAGACAGCUUUGAGAAUUGAAUGAAAUUGCUCCUCUAGAGUGCCUUCUACAAGUCCAUACUAUCAUGUCUUUGAAGACAGGUCCAUACCUUGGGUGUUUGUAUUUGGACAACCACAGACAUUGCCAAGAAAUGUAUCUGUUCUACUUGCACACCUUCACCACCUGGAUGCUGCUUGAGGACACAGAUCUGGUCCAUCAGAUUUCUCUCUGUACUCCUCUCUAUAUUUCGCCAUAUUUGAUAUAGACCCAUCAAUGGCUCCCUAGAAUAAAAUCUCAACUCUUCACUGUGCCCACAGCCCCAGUGACCUUGCCACUUCCAUCAGAGCCCUCACACCAGUGCCCAGACAUACAGACUGACCUCCUGACCAUCCCCCAGAUGUGCUAAGGCCGGUUCUGCUUCUGGACUUCUGAACAGACAUGUUUGGUAAACCCAAACAUUUCAGAUGGUGAAUAGCUCUGAAAGCAAAGUAAGACAGGGUAGGGCAGGAAGGACUUCCAGCAAAGUCACCCCAGGCUGGCCCCUUUC